AGAGUUUGAUCAUGGCUCAGAACGAACGCUGGCGGCGUGGAUAAGACAUACAAGUCGAACGCUGACAUUCAGGUAGCAAUAUUUGGAUGUCGGAGUGGCGCAAGGGUGCGUAACACGUGGGUAAUUUGCCGUAAAGUCUGGGAUAACUUGCUGAAAGGCGAGCUAAUACCGGAUGUGAAUGUAAGAAGGCAUCUUUUGACAUUCAAAGUUGGGGACCGCAAGGCCUGACGCUUUACGAUAAGCCCGCGGCCUAUCAGCUAGUUGGUGAGGUAACGGCUCACCAAGGCUAAGACGGGUAGCUGGUCUGAGAGGACGACCAGCCUCACUGGAACUGAGACACGGUCCAGACACCUACGGGUGGCAGCAGUCGAGAAUUUUUCUCAAUGGGCGAAAGCCUGAAGGAGCGACGCCGCGUGGGGGAUGAAUGGCUUCGGCCCGUAAACCCCUGUCAUUUGUGAACAAAUUGCUUCACCUAACACGUGAAGCAUUGAUUGUAACGGAAGAGGAAGGGACGGCUAACUCUGUGCCAGCAGCCGCGGUAAUACAGAGGUCCCAAGCGUUGUUCGGAUUCACUGGGCGUAAAGGGUGCGUAGGCGGUUUGACAAGUCUGAUGUGAAAUCCCGCAGCUUAACUGCGGAACUGCAUUGGAAACUGUUUGACUAGAGGAAUGGAGGGGAGACUGGAAUACUUGGUGUAGCAGUGAAAUGCGUAGAUAUCAAGUGGAACACCAGUGGCGAAGGCGAGUCUCUGGACAUUUCCUGACGCUGAGGCACGAAAGCCAGGGGAGCAAACGGGAUUAGAUACCCUAGUAGUCC
rnacentral:rRNA from 1 species